UACGAAGGGGGGCUAGCGUUGCUCGGAAUCACUGGGGCGUAAAGGGUGCGUAGGCGGGGAUUUUUAAGUCAGAGGUGAAAAGCCUGGAGCUCAACUCCAGAACUGCCUUUGAUACUGGAAUUCUUGAGUUCGGAAGAGGUAGGUGGAACUGCGAGUGUAGAGGUGAAAAUUCGUAGAUAUUCGCAAGAACACCAGUGGCGAAGGCGGCCUACUGGUCCGAUACUGACGCUGAGGCACGAAAGCGUGGGGGAGCAAACAGG
rnacentral:rRNA from 1 species